AGAAAUAUAGAAAUAUGUUAUUUUAAUGUGCUCUCAAUGUAAAUAGGCAUAUAAAAGAAUAAUUUGAUGGAAACAAUCCCUUAGUAUUGUAAUUAUUUUAAUAAUUAUAGUGCACUAUUGAAAUAAAAACACAUUUCCUCUUUCUCUGCCACUUUUUUGGUGUAAUGGGACAUUCAGAGCUUGAAAGAAACCACCACAUAAGUAGUCAUUUCAUCUGUAUCUGUUAAAUGAAUUGCUUUUCCCAGACAUCUAAUUUAUCCAGAGAACAUCUCCUUGGUCAGUAUUACAAAUUGUUUUUAUUUUCUUACACUUGCUUAUUAAUAAUUUUCCAUGUCAUGUCUGUCAUCAGAGAAGGAAGGUCACAUUCAAUAUUUCUCCAUUUCUCUUUUCUUUUUUCCCACUCAUACUCUAGAUUGAAAACUUAGCUAAGUAAAAACAAUUGGUUCAAAUCUUAUUUGAAUUAUGGACACAUUAUUCUCAGUAAAAUAAAUCUUGAGUUUAAAUCCCAUUAUCUUGUGUAAAUUUUUUUAAUUCAAUCUUGGCAAAACAUGCAUAUUUUAAAGAUAUGACCUAUAAUUUUUUCUCUUGACUUUUGUGUUUGGCAGGAGUUCACAGACUUUGCUAACAAUUUUAACAGAUAUGCUUUAAUUUAAUAACUACAAUUUGGUAAUUAGCUGGAGUCGCAUUUCAAAAUGCAAUUGAUAUGAUUUGGCUGGAUUUAUCUGUAUUCUAGAAAAUACAGGACAGUCGUAUAGAUACUGGUGUUGUUACUCUGUUCAUAUUCACACUUUUACCUUGCAUCAUUCCUGAGACACAGAAUUUUUGAUAUUCUGCCACAAUCUAUUCCCAAAACAUCACUGAUGACAAAACGAUAAUAAUCUUUGGAAACAUUUCCUCUCAAGUUCCAAAGUUUUCAGUCAGUAGAAAAAAAAGAAAGAAGACAAAAUUUUAAAGGUGCUGAGAAAAGCCCAGGGCUCACAGCUGGUUUCAGCAACUUCAACUUGCGUAAGACCCCGUGUUUGUGAAAACAACCCAAGAAUCUUUGAACAGGAUGUAAUCAACCUCCGAACUGCUGAGAAAUAUUGCAAAAAUGACUUCAGCUGCCAAAAAUAAUGUCGUUUACAAGCAGCUCUUCCUAUGUCUAAGGAAGAACUAGUCACACAUGCGAGUUUUUGCUGGCUUGAGAACAAGCAAGGAAAAAGACAAAUCCCACCUACCCUAGCCUAAAAUACACAGUGAGUCUCAGAACCCCGCGGAAGCUGUGGCUCAUUUCUAAAGGUGCUGGCAAUAUCGAGGAAGACUUGUAUCCACAAAAUUCCAAAUGGAAAAGAGAGAAAAGAGAACAACAAACAGAUGUGUGAAAAAAAGACACGAAGUACAAAACGGAUGUAUUAAUGGCAAAUAGAGUAAACUUGAAGCCUGAAAUUGCAGCACUCAUUUGGUGACCAGGAGUGGGCAAACAGAAGGACAAAGGCCUACAAGAUUAAAUAAUCAAGUCAUUAUUGUGAAUUUGGAUCUAAAUGACCUGGCAGAAACCAUGGAGAUGAUCUUGGAUUUAAAGAGGAAAAACUCAAAGCAAUGUAUUCUGAUCAAGAAAUGGCAGGAAAUGGCAGCUACCUGAUAUGGAACAAUCAACAACUGAAGGUUUAUUUUGAAUGAGAGGUGUUGUCCAACUGCGAGACGGAGUGAUUGAAGCUGAGAAUAAAUGGAAACACAAUCAAUAGUCACUCCAGUGAGGUAGGAAAGAAAGCCAUUCCGAAGUGGCAGAGAAGCUGCUUUUUCCUCCUGCAUGCUGCCUGCUAGUGUGGAUCUUGGCAUAACAGACACUACUUGGCAAAAGAUCCAUCCUUCCUUUUCCUAUACUUUGCUCAGCGGCCUGGAAGAUUGACCUCAAAAGCAAAAUCACCUGGAUUUCCUUGCCAUUUGGCUUUCAAAUGUGCUCAGCCAAUGACAGGCUGGAAAGAAAUUGACAGCUGGGAAAAGAGGAAGAUUUGUGUACAAGAUCCCUUCCACUCCCAUCUCAUUACCUGCCAUGGUCCUAGCAGUGGCUGUUCUUAUUAUGGC
rnacentral:lncRNA from 1 species